rnacentral:rRNA from 1 species
UACGGAAGGCAGCAGUGGGGAAUAUUGCACAAUGGGCGCAAGCCUGAUGCAGCCAUGCCGCGUGUAUGAAGAAGGCCUUCGGGUUGUAAAGUACUUUCAGUCGUGAGGAAGGUGUUAAGGUUAAUAACCUUAGCAAUUGACGUUAGCGACAGAAGAAGCACCGGCUAACUCCGUGCCAGCAGCCGCGGUAAUACGGAGGGUGCGAGCGUUAAUCGGAAUUACUGGGCGUAAAGGGCACGCAGGCGGUUAAUUAAGUUGGAUGUGAAAUCCCCGGGCUUAACCUGGGAAUGGCAUUCAAGACUGGUUAGCUAGAGUCUUGUAGGAGGGGGUAGAAUUCCAUGUGUAGCGGUGAAAUGCGUAGAGAUGUGGAGGAAUACCGGUGGCGAAGGCGGCCCCUGGGACAAAGACUGACGCUCAUGUGCGAAAGCGUGGGGAGCAAACAGGGAUUAGAUACC